AACCAGCACCUCAAGUGGUCAGGAUGAUUAUUGGUCCUAAAGCAUCCGUAGCCGGCUCUGUAAGUUUUCGGUUAAAUCUGUACGCUCAACGUACAGGCUGCCGGGAAUACUGCAGAGCUAGGUAGUGGGAGAGGUAGACGGUACUCGGUAGGAAGGGGUAAAAUCCUUUGAUCUAUUGAUGACCACCUGUGGCGAAGGCGGUCUACCAGAACACGUACGACGGUGAGGGAUGAAAGCUGGGGGAGCAAACCGGAUUAGAUACCCGGGUAGUCCCAGCUGUAAACUAUGCAAACUCAGUGAUGCAUUGGCUUGUGGCCAAUGCAGUGCUGCAGGGAAGCCGUUAAGUUUGCCGCCUGGGAAGUACGUACGCAAGUAUGAAACUUAAAGGAAUUGGCGGGGGAGCACCACAAGGGGUGAAGCCUGCGGUUCAAUUGGAGUCAACGCCAGAAAUCUUACCCGGAGAGACAGCAGAAUGAAGGUCAAGCUGAAGACUUUACCAGACAAGCUGAGAGGUGGUGCAUGGCCGUCGCCAGCUCGUGCCGUGAGAUGUCCUGUUAAGUCAGGUAACGAGCGAGAUCCCUGCCUCUAGUUGCCACCAUUACUCUCAGGAGUAGUGGGGCGAAUUAGCGGGACCGCCGCAGUUAAUGCGGAGGAAGGAAGGGGCCACGGCAGGUCAGUAUGCCCCGAAACUCUGGGGCCACACGCGGGCUGCAAUGGUAACGACAAUGGGUUUCGAAUUCGAAAGGAUGAGGUAAUCCUCAAACGUUACCACAGUUAUGACUGAGGGCUGCAACUCGCCCUCACGAAUAUGGAAUCCCUAGUAACUGCGUGUCACUAUCGCGCGGUGAAUACGUCCCUGCUCCU
rnacentral:rRNA from 1 species